UACGUAGGGGGCGAGCGUUGUCCGGAUUUAUUGGGCGUAAAGAGCGUGUAGGCGGCUAGGUAGGUCUGCUGUGAAAACUCGAGGCUCAACCUCGAGACGUCGGCGGAAACCAUCUGGCUAGAGUCCGGAAGAGGAGAGUGGAAUUCCUGGUGUAGCGGUGAAAUGCGCAGAUAUCAGGAAGAACACCAGUGGCGAAGGCGGCUCACUGGCCCGGUACUGACGCUGAGGCGCGAAAGCGUGGGGAGCGAACAGG
rnacentral:rRNA from 1 species